rnacentral:tRNA from 1 species
AGUGGGAUGGCUGAGAACAAUAAGUAGGCGAUAGGCUGUAAAUCUAUUUAGGAGCAUUUACGUUGCUUUUCCACUA